rnacentral:antisense_RNA from 1 species
UUUCAUGGCGGCUGUGCGUGGGGCAUCUUCGGGUGCGCCGAGUUCCUCAAUUUGACCGGUCUGUCACCCCACUGCACAACUGCCGCCCUU